rnacentral:rRNA from 1 species
UACGUAGGGUGCGAGCGUUAAUCGGAAUUACUGGGCGUAAAGCGUGCGCAGGCGGUUCGUUGUGUCUGCUGUGAAAUCUCCGGGCUUAACUCGGAAAGGUCAACUGAUACUGCUCGACUAGAGUGCGGAAGGGGCAACUGGAAUUCUUGGUGUAGCGGUGAAAUGCGUAGAUAUCAAGAGGAACACCUGCGGCGAAGGCGGGUUGCUGAGCCGACACUGACGCUGAUGCGCGAAAGCUAGGGGAGCGAACGGG